GAUGAACGCUGGCGGCGUGCCUAAUACAUGCAAGUCGAGCGAACAGACGAGGAGCUUGCUCCUCUGACGUUAGCGGCGGACGGGUGAGUAACACGUGGAUAACCUACCUAUAAGACUGGGAUAACUUCGGGAAACCGGAGCUAAUACCGGAUAAUAUAUUGAACCGCACGGUUCAAUAGUGAAAGACGGUUUUGCUGUCACUUAUAGAUGGAUCCGCGCCGCAUUAGCUUGUUGGUAAGGUAACGGCUUACCAAGGCAACGAUGCGUAGCCGACCUGAGAGGGUUAUAGCCCAAACGGGAAGAUGAACAACGUCAAGAGUACAAAGGGAGACAGCAGUAGGAAUACUAACGCAAUGAGGGAAAGCCGAACGGAGCAGCGCGGCGAGGGUGAUCAAGGUGUUGGGGUCGUAAAACUCUGUUAUUGGAGAUGAAAAAGUAAUAAGGUAACUAUGCACACCUGCAAGGAACCUAAGAAGAAAACCACCACUAACUACACG
rnacentral:rRNA from 1 species